UACGUAGGGUGCAAGCGUUGUCCGGAAUUAUUGGGCGUAAAGAGCUCGUAGGCGGUCUGUCGCGUCGGCUGUGAAAACCCGGAGCUCAACUCCGGGCCUGCAGUCGAUACGGGCAAACUGGAGUGUUGCAGGGGAGACUGGAAUUCCUGGUGUAGCGGUGAAAUGCGCAGAUAUCAGGAGGAACACCAGCGGCGAAGGCGGCGCUCUGGGCCGUAACUGACGCUGUGGAGCGAAAGCGUGGGGAGCGAACAGG
rnacentral:rRNA from 1 species